AAUAAAUUCAGUGGGUCUGAUUUUUCUGGGAAUAGGGCCUUCACCAGAGAGUGAUGCUUCUGUCAUUCUUGAUAUGAGAAUCUAUUUUUCCAUUUUCGAGGCAUGUGUACAGCCAGACUUUCAUAUAGUGUUCAUUCACCCCCACUUGCAAUCGAAUAUUUUCACGAGUUCCAUAUUCCCUUUUCUUAGGGAAAGAAUCGUUAUCAGAAAAUAAAAAUAUCACGGACUAAUCACAAUUUUAAAGAUCAAAUAUGUGUUCAAUCAAGUAGGGUGACCCCAGAGAGCUUGAUAUAUAGUUUUGGAACCCUUUUGCUUGAUCUGUUAAGCGGAAAGCAUAUCCCUCCAAGCCAUGCUCUUGACUUGAUUCGUGACAGAAACAUUCAAACAAUGAUGGAUUCUUGCUUGGAAGGCCAGUUCUCGAAUGAUGAUGGUGGUCGUAAUUUGUAUUAUAACAAGAAGUAACGAACUUAGAUGUUUAUGAAAAUAUUAGGAAUUUAAAUUUAAUUUCUUCAAAAGUUUAAUGAUCUCGUGUAAACGUAGCCAAACUUAGUAAUUAAAAGACAAACUCUUUGAAGUUAUGAUCUAAACAAUUUAUUUACAACGUACGGAGUUGUUAUUUAUGGA